UGGGCCAAUUCCAACUUGACAGUGCAAGUUCCUAUGCUACUAUUUCUGUCGAAUCUUUUAAAUAUGUAUUAAAGGAAUGGUUAAAUUAUAGUCUACUUGGCAUUGUUGCUGCUUUUGAAUGGCAUUUUGACUGUCCAGGAUGUGGUCUUAUAAUACAAUUUGUUUAGCUUAUAUAAAAAGCGAGUUUUCCCUGCUUUAGAUUAGUUAUCUGCUAGUUUACAAGCACAGUUCCACCAAAAGAAAAGCAAUUUUGAUAAGAAAAAUAUCAUUAAUAUAAUCUUAAUGAUGAAGGACAAUUCUCUUUAAUCUAAAUGGGAGAGAGUAUGAAAUAAAAAGUUGUAGAUUCCUGUCGUCUUCUAGCGCAAUGAAAGGACUAACCAUGUCCGUAACACACCAGGGCUUUCAUGGAAUCUCAUUUGCCAGCAUUUAAAGAGAUCAAUCCCAGCUGGAGGUGGUAACUGAGCUUAAUGUGGUCAGCAUCCAUAUUUGAAGGGACUAUACCGUUCUAACACGAUUCCCAAGAAGAAGAAGCCAGUCAUUGCUGUGAAGAUGGUUUUUGAUUUGAAGACUACAAGGCCUAUCGUGCUCAUGUUUUGUUCUAGAUGGGAAUCGUGCUCAUAUUUUUGUAUAGAACUUUACUACUCUCUAUUGUGGAUGGGAAAUCACUAGUAUUGUAACUGAAUGGCUUAUUUUGGAUGGUGCAUGCUUUAUGACUCAUUUGAGGCAACA